GCUUACGGCCAUACCACCCUGAGCGCGCCCGAUCUCGUCUGAUCUCGGAAGCUAAGCAGGGUCGGGCCUGGUUAGUACUUGGAUGGGAGACCGCCUGGGAAUACCAAGUGCUGUAAGCU
rnacentral:rRNA from 1 species